CUGGUUUGUACUUGGAUGGGAGACCGCAGGGAAAACCAAG
rnacentral:rRNA from 1 species